rnacentral:rRNA from 1 species
UGAGGAAUAUUGCACAAUGGGGGAAACCCGUGAUGCAGCGACGCCGCGUGAACGAAGAAGUAUUUCGGUAUGUAAAGUUCUAUCAGCAGGGAAGAUAAUGACGGUACCUGACUAAGAAGCACCGGCUAAAUACGUGCCAGCAGCCGCGGUAAUACGGAGGAUGCAAGCGUUAUCCGGAUUUAUUGGGUUUAAAGGGUGCGUAGGCUGUUCUGCAAGUCAGCGGUGAAAGCCCGGGGCUCAACCCCGGAAAUGCCGUUGAUACUGCGGGGCUGGAAUACGGAUGCCGUGGGAGGAAUGAGUAGUGUAGCGGUGAAAUGCAUAGAUAUUACUCAGAACACCGAUUGCGAAGGCAUCUCACGAAUCCGUUAUUGACGCUGAGGCACGAAAGCGU